rnacentral:lncRNA from 1 species
UUCGGGCCGGGUUCAAGUUUUUCUGGCUCGCCAAUAAAUGAGCCGGGUUGGGUUGGCUCACUAAGUGACCAACUCGUGGUGGGCCGGACCGGGUCGAGCCGGGUUACCCAUUUUGACAGCUCUAAUUUAUUUUAUAAUAGAUAAUUUUAUAAUUGACAUAUAUAUUUAAAAUAUAGCAUUUAUAAUUGUAUAUGAAUAUUUUUUUCUCCCGCGUUUUUUCUUCUUUUCUCUGCUUAUUAUAAAUAAGAAUUUGAGUGAAAUUUAAAUUUACCCUAGCCUCAACCAUUUUCACCUAUUCUCUUACUGUAGACUUCUCAAUUCUAACCGUCACCUUCACCUUGG